rnacentral:rRNA from 1 species
UAGUGGCGGACGGGUGAGUAACGCGUGAGAAUCUGCCCUCAGGAGGGGGAUAACGGCUGGAAGCGGCCGCUAAUACCCCAUAUGCCGAGAGGUGAAACGAAUUUCGCCUGAGGAUGAGCUCGCGUCUGAUUAGCUAGUUGGUAGGGUAAAGGCCUACCAAGGCAUUGAUCAGUAGCUGGUCUGAGAGGAUGAUCAGCCACACUGGGACUGAGACACGGCCCAGACUCCUACGGGAGGCAGCAGUGGGGAAUUUUCCGCAAUGGGCGCAAGCCUGACGGAGCAACGCCGCGUGAGGGAUGAAGGCCUCUGGGCUGUAAACCUCUUUUAUCAAGGAAGAAGAUCUGACGGUACUUGAUGAAUAAGCCACGGCUAA